GACGAACGCUGGCGGCGUGCCUAAUACAUGCAAGUAGAACGCUGAAGAGAGGAGCUUGCUCUUCUUGGAUGAGUUGCGAACGGGUGAGUAACGCGUAGGUAACCUGCCUUGUAGCGGGGGAUAACUAUUGGAAACGAUAGCUAAUACCGCAUAACAAUGGGUGACACAUGUCAUUUAUUUGAAAGGGGCAAUUGCUCCACUACAAGAUGGACCUGCGUUGUAUUAGCUAGUAGGUGAGGUAAUGGCUCACCUAGGCGACGAUACAUAGCCGACCUGAGAGGGUGAUCGGCCACACUGGGACUGAGACACGGCCCAGACUCCUACGGGAGGCAGCAGUAGGGAAUCUUCGGCAAUGGGGGCAACCCUGACCGAGCAACGCCGCGUGAGUGAAGAAGGUUUUCGGAUCGUAAAGCUCUGUUGUAAGUCAAGAACGGGUGUGAGAGCGGAAAGUUCACACUGUGACGGUAGCUUACCAGAAAGGGACGGCUAACUACGUG
rnacentral:rRNA from 1 species